CGGGUAUCUUGUGCUCAGUUGUGAACUUCCUACUAGCGAGGAUUCGUUGUAACCCGCGUGUUACAAUUCCGGUGUAGUCGUCAAAGAUGUCAACUGAAAACAAUUCCUCCCAAUUCUCUCUCAAGUCCAUCUUAGAGAAGGACAAACUGAACCACUCCAACUUCAUGGACAGGCACCGCAACUUGAAAAUUGUUCUCAAGGCGGAGAACAAACUGUAUGUUCUUGAAACGCCAGUCCCUGAUGAACCCAUCAAUCAGCAAACUGUUGCAUAUAGAAACUAUGCAAAGCACUUUGAUAACUCUAUGAAAGUCUCAUGUUUAAUUUUAGCAUCCAUGAUUCCUGAACUUCAAAGGACCAUGGAUGACAAGAUGGCAUAUGAGAUGAAUGAGCACCUGGUUGAAAUGUUCCAACAGAAGGCUCGUCAUGAGAGGUUUGAUGUGAUGAGAUCACUCAUAACCACUCGUAUGCAAGAGGGUACAUCAGUUAGCGCUCAUGUGCUAAAAAUGAAGGCAUAUGUUGAUCACUUGGCUCGUCUGGAAUCCCCCUUGAGUGAUGAAUUAGCUGGGGAUAUCAUCCUCAACUCAUUGCCUAAGUCAUAUGAUCAGUUCACUAUGAACUACAAUAUGAAUGGGAUGGAGAAGACACUUGCAGAGCUGCAUCAGAUACUCAAACUGCUAAGGUGAAUAUACCCAGCAAGACUGCACCAGUGCUGAUGAUCAAGGAGGGUCAUGUUAAGAAACCUAACACCAAGAAAAAGGGCAAUCAUGGCAAAGGGAAGGGCAAAGGCAAAAUCGUUGCAAACAAGAAGCCUCAGAAGGAUGCCAAGUGUUUUCAUUGUAAUGAAAUUGGGCACUGGAAGAGGAACUGUGCUAAGUAUUUAGCUGAACUGAAGCAAGCCAAGGCUUCAGGAGGAGAGUCCUCAGGGACUAAGAAAGAUUAAGAAGCUGAAACAAGGCGACUUGGAGGUCCAUGUUGGCAAUGGACAAAGAGUUGUUGUGAAGGCGAUUGGAGAA